AUGCCGGGCAGGGACAAUCACAUCAAACGCAGAUGGAAUCUCGGUGGGCAUGACUGGGAAAUCCGUGUAUAUCCGCAUGGCGGUGAGCCAUCGGCUCCCUCCUGGGUGGCAAUCAAUGUUGUCCUUCUCAGCGAGUGCGCUGUGGCUGUGGUGACGACUAUACGUGGUUGCUUGGUUGACCCGAAGGGAGUUCGUGAACCAUCCGAAGAAAUUUGUCGGUCAGUAGCAUUCAGGAAACCCCAAGAUAAAUCAUCUCAAAUGCUUCUCAUGCCAUGGUAUACGCUGAAUAAAUCGCGUUAUCUCAAGGAUGAUUCUUUCAUUGUGCAAUGCACCCUUGAAGUUCUGAAGGAGCUGCCAGAUAUACCAGAACCAGAAGUGCAUGUGCCAGUGCCAACCUCUAACCUGCACCAGCACUUCGCUGAACUCCUGCAGAGCCAGAUGGGAGCGGACGUCACAUUUCUUGUGUCCGGGGAGUCCAUUGUGGCGCACAAGUACAUACUCGCGGUAAGGUCCCGUGUCUUUAAGGCCGCGUUCCUUGGUGACAUGAUUGAGAGGGGCUCGGAAUGCGUGGAGAUUAAGGACAUGGAGGCCGCGGUAUUCAAGGCGUUGCUCCACUUCAUCUACACUGACACUGUGCUAGAAUUCGAACAGCAGGCGGGUGCAGAGGCCAUGAUUACCGAUACCGUGCCAGAAUCCAGACAACAGGAUGAGGCGCAUGAGCAGGCGGCAUCUGUGAUGGCUCUUGCUCAACAUCUACUUGCUGCUGCUGACAGGUAUGGGCUGGACAGGCUCAAGCUCAUCUGCGCCAGAAAGCUCUAUGAUGGCAUCAAAGUGGACACAGCAGCGACAACUUUGGCUUUUGCCGAGCAGUACAACUGCUGGGAGCUCCAGAAGAGGUGUGCUGAUUUCAUUACCAAAGCUUAUGCCGGGAGCUCAUCUCUUGAUGCUGUGGCGGCGACGGAGGGGACCUCUGGUCGUGAUUGA
rnacentral:rRNA from 1 species